rnacentral:rRNA from 1 species
AGUGAACGCUGGCGGUGGGCCUAACACAUGCAAGUCGAACGGCAGCACAGUAAGAGCUUGCUCUUACGGGUGGCGAGUGGCGGACGGGUGAGGAAUACAUCGGAAUCUACUUUUUCGUGGGGGAUAACGUAGGGAAACUUACGCUAAUACCGCAUACGACCUACGGGUGAAAGCAGGGGAUCUUCGGACCUUGCGCGAUUGAAUGAGCCGAUGUCGGAUUAGCUAGUUGGCGGGGUAAAGGCCCACCAAGGCGACGAUCCGUAGCUGGUCUGAGAGGAUGAUCGGCCACACUGGAACUGGGACACGUUCCAGACUCCUACGGGAGGCAGCAUGGGGAAUAUUGGACAAUGGGCGCAAGCCUGAUCCAGCCAUACCGCGUGGGUGAAGAAGGCCUUCGGGUUGUAAAGCCCUUUUGUUGGGAAAGAAAAGCAGCAGGUUAAUACCCCGCUGUUCUGACGGUACCCAAAGAAUAAGCACCGGCUAACUUCGUG